AAGAUUAAAACUCAAAGGAAUUGACGGGGGCCCGCACAAGCAGCGGAGCAUGUGGUUUAAUUCGAAGCAACGCGAAGAACCUUACCUAGACUUGACAUCUCCUGAAUUACUCUUAAUCGAGGAAGUCGCUUCGGCGACAGGAAGACAGGUGGUGCAUGGUUGUCGUCAGCUCGUGUCGUGAGAUGUUGGGUUAAGUCCCGCAACGAGCGCAACCCUUAUUGUUAGUUGCUACCAUUUAGUUGAGCACUCUAGCGAGACUGCCGUGGUUAACGCGGAGGAAGGUGGGGAUGACGUCAAAUCAUCAUGCCCCUUAUGUCUAGGGCUACACACGUGCUACAAUGGCUGGUACAAAGAGAUGCAAUACCGCGAGGUGGAGCUAAACUAUAAAACCAGUCUCAGUUCGGAUUGUAGGCUGAAACUCGCCUACAUGAAGCUGGAGUUGCUAGUAAUCGCGAAUCAGAAUGUCGCGGUGAAUACGUUCCCGGGCCUUGUACACACCGCCCGUCACACCAUGAGAGUUGGCAAUACCCAAAGUUCGUGAGCUAACCCGUAAGGGAGGCAGCGACCUAAGGUAGGGUCAGCGAUUGGGGUGAAGUCGUAACAAGGUAGCCGUAGGAGAACCUGCGGCUGGAUCACCUCCUUUCUAUGGAGA
rnacentral:rRNA from 1 species